AACAAGAUCGGGUGAAAAGAAAAAGCCCCUCAUUGGCACCUCCUCGCUCCUAUGCAACCCCGCGAAAAGCAGGGGAAGGCCUUCACUCCGAGAAGAGGAGGAAAAUCAAAAAUGAAGGAUGACGAACUACGACGGGAACGGAUGAGGGAUGAACCACACCAAAAGACCUAAAGGACUUCGUCCCAACUGAAACGGAGAGUUCCUACCGAACACCUCCGGCCGCUAAAAAGACUUUCGACACCGG
rnacentral:lncRNA from 1 species